rnacentral:rRNA from 1 species
GAUGAACGCUGGCGGCGUGCCUAAUACAUGCAAGUCGAGCGAACGGACGAGAAGCUUGCUUCUCUGAUGUUAGCUGCGGACGGGUGAGUAACACGUGGAUAACCUACCUAUAAGACUGGGAUAACUUCUGGAAACCGUAGCUAAUACCGGAUAAUAUUUUGAACCGCAUGUUUCAAAAGUGAAAGACGGUCUUGCUGUCACUUAUAGAUGGAUCCGCGCUGCAUUAGCUAGUUGGUAAGGUAACGGCUUACCAAGGCAACGAUGCAUAGCCGACCUGAGAGGGUGAUCGGCCACACUGGAACUGAGACACGGUCCAGACUCCUACGGGAGGCAGCAGUAGGGAAUCUUCCGCAAUGGGCGAAAGCCUGACGGAGAAACGCCGCGUGAGUGAUGAAGGUCUUCGGAUCGUAAAACUCUGUUAUUAGGGAAGAACAUAUGUGUAAGUAACUGUGCACAUCUUGACGGUACCUAAUCAGAAAGCCACGGCUAACUACGUG